CCCUCAGGAUAGCUGGAACUUAUGAGAAAGUAGUUUUAUCAGGUAAAGCGAAUGAUUAGAGGCUUUGGGGAAGAAACUUCCUCGACCUAUUCUCAAACUUUAAAUAGGUAAGAUUUGGAGGAUACUUAGGUGAUCUUUCAAUACAUUGAAUAUCAAGUUCUUAGUGGGCCAUUUUUGGUAAGCAGAACUGGCGAUGUGGGAUGAACCGAACGUUAAGUUAAAGUGCCAAAUAGUACGCUCAUGAGAUACCAUAAAAGGUGUUGGUUCAUUUUGACAGCAGGACGGUGGCCAUGGAAGUCGGAACCCGCUAAGGAGUGUGUAACAACUCACCUGCCGAAUGAACUAGCCCUGAAAAUGGAUGGCGCUUAAGCGUAUAACUUAUACUUAACCCUUACUUGAAUUAUUAUAACGAGUAAGGAGUAGGAGGG
rnacentral:rRNA from 1 species